AUUGAACGCUGGCGGCAUGCCUUACACAUGCAAGUCGAACGGCAGCACGGGUGCUUGCACCUGGUGGCGAGUGGCGAACGGGUGAGUAAUACAUCGGAACAUGUCCUGUAGUGGGGGAUAGCCCGGCGAAAGCCGGAUUAAUACCGCAUACGAUCUACGGAUGAAAGCGGGGGACCUUCGGGCCUCGCGCUAUAGGGUUGGCCGAUGGCUGAUUAGCUAGUUGGUGGGGUAAAGGCCUACCAAGGCGACGCUCAGUAGCUGGUCUGAGAGGACGACCAGCCACACUGGUACUGAGACACGGCCCAGACUCCUACGGGAGGCAGCAGUGGGGAAUUUUGGACAAUGGGCGAAAGCCUGAUCCAGCAAUGCCGCGUGUGUGAAGAAGGCCUUCGGGUUGUAAAGCACUUUUGUCCGGAAAGAAAUCCUUGGCCCUAAUACGGUCGGGGGAUGACGGUACCGGAAGAAUAAGCACCGGCUAACUACGUG
rnacentral:rRNA from 1 species